rnacentral:rRNA from 1 species
GAUAAACGCUGGCGGCGCACAUAAGACAUGCAAGUCGAACGGACUUAACUUCAUUCUUUACGAUUGAAGAGCGGUUAGUGGCGGACUGGUGAGUAACACGUAAGCAACCUGCCUAUCAGAGGGGAAUAACAGUGAGAAAUCAUUGCUAAUACCGCAUAAGCUGAUAAUAUCGCAUGAUAUAGUCAGAAAAGGAGCAAUCCGCUGAUAGAUGGGCUUGCGUCUGAUUAGCUAGUUGGUGGGGUAACGGCCUACCAAGUCGACGAUCAGUAGCCGACCUGAGAGGGUGAUCGGCCACAUUGGGACUGAGACACGGCCCAAAACUCCUACGGGAGGCAGCAGUGGGGAAUAUUGGGCAAUGGGGGAAACCCUGACCCAGCAACGCCGCGUGGAGGAAGAAGGUUUUCGGAUCGUAAACUCCUGUCCUCAGGGAAGAGCAGAAGACGGUACCUGAGGAGGAAGCCCCGGCUAACUACGUGCCAGCAGCCGCGGU